UACGAGAGGCCCAAACGUUAUUCGGAAUUACUGGGCGUAAAGGGCGCGUAGGCGGCGUGUCAAGUCAGGCGUGAAAGCCCCGGGCUCAACCCGGGAACUGCGUCCGAUACUGGAAGGCUUGAAUCCGGGAGAGGGAUGUGGAAUUCCAGGUGUAGCGGUGAAAUGCGUAGAUAUCUGGAGGAACACCGGUGGCGAAGGCGACAUCCUGGACCGGUAUUGACGCUGAGGCGCGAAAGCCAGGGGAGCAAACGGG
rnacentral:rRNA from 1 species